rnacentral:rRNA from 1 species
CGCAUCUGUGCAUGCAGUAUAUCAAUAAGCGGAGGAAAAGAAACUAACAAGGAUUCCCUUAGUAACGGCGAGUGAAGCGGGAAGAGCUCAAAUUUGAAAUCUUCAAGGUUUUACCUUGACGAAUUGUAGUUUAAAGAAGUGUUUUCUGUUGAAGUUUUGGUAAAAGUUCUUUGGAAUAGGACAUCAUAGAGGGUGAGAAUCCCGUAUUUGACCAUUAUUUUCAGCUGUGUGAUACACUUUCAAAGAGUCGGAUUGUUUGGGAAUGCAGUCCAAAAUGGGUGGUAAAUUUCAUCUAAAGCUAAAUAUUGGCGAGAGACCGAUAGCGAACAAGUACCGUGAGGGAAAGAUGAAAAGAACUUUGAAAAGAGAGUUAAACAGUACGUGAAAUUGUCAAAAGGGAAGCGUUUGACACCAGUGUUGUUUUCUCGAAAAUCAAUUAAAAAGAGUUAGAUUUUGUUGUGUAUUGACCUUAACAGCUUGCAUUUCAAUUUUCUUGCUUUUUUUAAUGCACUUUUCGUUUAACAAGUCAACAUCAGUUUCUUUUGUUGUAAAAAGGUCAUUGGAAGGUGGCUUUCUUUUCGGAGAAAGUGUUUAUAGCCUUUGACUCCUGCAAUCGGAGAGACCGAGGUCUGCAGCGUAGAUCCUUCGGGGUUAGAUACAUUUGUGCUAAGUUAUAGCUUUUUAUAGACAACUUGUUGACUAUGAUUAGUCUUGUAGCUUACUCGCUUAUGCUAUUUUACCUACGCUUAGGAUGUUGAUGUGAUACUGCGAGCA